rnacentral:lncRNA from 1 species
GCUCGUCGGAUUGCCGAACCGUCUUCGCCAACGCGUUCGUUUACCUAGCAAUUUGGUUUACGGAGGGUCAAAUGAGAUCAAACCCUCAUAUUUUGAAAGUUUGCAUUUUUGAGCCCUAAUAUGAAUUAACCUCUAAAUAAUCCAAAUCAAAUGGAGCAAACAUGUUUAGAAUGCUCAUUAGAGGCUAUUAGAACACUUAAA